rnacentral:tmRNA from 1 species
GGGCUUGCCAGGUUUCGACAGGGCAUUGCAGAAUUAAAUAAGCAUGCAGAGGAUGAUGGACACCUCUUAAAAAGACAUCAAACAAUAAAUGCUGAAAAUAGCAGACCAGUAGCUCUCGCUGCUUAAUUGUAGCGGACUACACCCGAUUUAAUCGGUUAAAGCUUUUAAGUAGUGUUUGACUUAGGCUAACGCUUAAAGGUUAAAAAGAAUCUAAGUUAUUGACUGAUGGGCCGUGGCGAAGGCAUAUUCAGCUCUUACUAAAGCAGCUAUAGCAACUUGUAUGGAGGAAGGUGAACCACCAAGCAAGAGUUAUUCAAAUAGUAAAAAUCACCUAAGCAUGUAGAAAGUUUAAGGAUGGUGUUUUGGACAGGGGUUCGACUCCCCUCAGGUCCACUU